UUUCUUUCUCCACCCUUCCACACAACGUCCUCUCUCACACAGCCCGCUAUUGACCGCGACGCUAGGGUUCCUAGCCGCUAUCGCACGUGUAGGCAGCUGGAGCCACCUCCACUCCGGCGCCCAUCGACGAUCCUCUCCAUCGUCGACCGGAGCUGCUCCGCCCAUCUCUGCCCGCCACCAGGCAUGACCGGGCCGCUCAACACCUCCUGCACACCGGCCGUACGGAGCUGCGCCGCCCACCACAGCAAGGCAUAUUCUCGGGGAUUCGGUAUAGAAACUGGGAGCAACACCUCAAUCUUCUUACCUGGCCUGAAAUUUUACGGCAAUUUGCUUUAUCAGCUGGUUUUGGGCCUCAGCUGAAAAAAAGGAAUGCUGAAGAUUUUUAUCGUGAUGAAAAUGAGGGCUAGGAUGGUCAGAAUGUCAUGUCCACUCUUCAAAAUUGUUCAGUAGCCAUGUGUGCUGCAUUUGAUGGAAGUCCAUGGAGGUUGUUGGCAUGGGGGCUAUCGACCUGGGCUGCCUUAUGGCUGAGGGGCGACGACCAUUUCAAGAACGACGCCAGCACAUCCCAUUGUAUUUUGAAACUGCCAAUCAGAUGUGGGUCCAACAAAAUCAAGAAGAAGAGUGUGACUUAUCAAUUGAUACAACAGACAUAGCGCCCAGCCAACGGGCACGACAUGCACGGAUGCUGAGCUGACCCAUCGACUCCAGGAAGCAGCGAAAGGCUGAUGUCGCGUACGCGGUGAUGAAUGAAGGGACACAUGACAACGCCAUCGUCAUUAUUAACAUCACCAAGUUAAUGUUUGUGUGUCUCUUAAACUCCCAACGGAUUAGAACACAAAGAUAAUCUUAGGUUUGGUGACUUAUCUUACAGAUACAACAUACAUAGCCCCAGCCAGCGGGCACGGCACGCACGGAUGCCGAGCUGACCCAUCGACUCUGGGAAGCAGCGACAGGCUGAUGUCGCGUACGCGGUGAUGAGUGAAGGGACGCAUGACAGCGCCAUCGUCAUUAUUAACAUCAUCACGUUGGUCAACACCUUCCUUCACGCGACGGAGUUGUUCCCUUCGAUAGUGUGCAAGUCAAUGACCAUUCAGGUCACACACCAUGGCGCUGCUUCUGGCCAUCAUGGCAGUGGAUCUCUCAGAUUGGUAAUCACUGAUUGGUGCUUCAGGUUUGAUAGAUAUCGGCAGAAAAAUAAUUAAGUGCUGAAGUUAAGAAAAUAUAUGUAUACAAAUACGUCAAUAUAAUAUAUGUCCAGGUAGAUUAAGAAUUUAGGAUUAGCUACAUCGUCACACUCGUGGUGAGUUACAACUUCACUUGGUGGACCACUCGAGUGUAGGAUACUAUGCAAUAUGAAUAGUGACUUAUUGUGUUCAAUCUGCAACAAUAGGCUAAAGAAAAUGUAGUGUAUUAUAUCCAGAAUGUUUAAAAGAGAACAGUUAAGUUGAUAAGAUUGUGUGCAUCUGAAGAGAAGGUUUAGAGUUCAAACAGUUCUCACAAAUUUAUGCGAGUGAUAUCCACUUCAGAAAUAUCAAUUGUAUGUUCGCAGCAAACAUUGUGUCUUGUUUAUACAGAGGAUAUAUUGAAGCAGUAGGAAUUGGGCAACAGAAUCAGUUAUAUGGUGAUGUUCAGUUUGAUGACAUUGUUGUUGCCUGCGGCAGGCCUAGAUCCUAAAAGUUGCGAUAAUGACACUUCACGGCUUGAUGAUAUUGAACUUUUUGCAGUGGUGGAACCACGUCUUUGCUUCAGGAUCAAAAGAAUUUUUAUCUAACGGUAUCAUUACGUCUCCUGUUAGAACUUCAAGAGCGGCUCCAUGAACAACUUGAGCCAAAGAUAUAAAUUGCAGGAAAUGGAGCAUAUUUGGCUAUAGUACAAGAAGUACGUGCAGUUGAGGAGCCAGGAGCCAAGACAGUGCGAACCGUUCACGAUUGAGAGGAGUAUCCACAAAUAGCAUAAAUAUGCCCGUCCUAGCAAAGUUUCUCCAUCAAGAUGCUCUUAUGUCAUGCAUGUUGUGAUCAAAAUCGCCUUCCCUCUCUAUUGAACUAGCUGCCAUAAUGUUAUACGAGUAUAUCAUCUAGCCGGCUCUUAAGCUGAGUGCUACCCUGACACUGUCACAUGUAAUGGAUCUCAUCUACUUAAUGCUAUUUAUGAAAAGCUCGUCAGCUGCA